rnacentral:lncRNA from 1 species
CACGGACUGUAACAAAGCACUGAUUUUUACUAACUCCUUAUCUUCUGCUUGUACAAAUAGGUGCUAUGAGUAAGGAGAUGCUUUUAACCUUUCAGAGCUCUAUCCUGCAGGUGAAUCCUUUAAGACUCAAGUGCCUGAUGUUUUAGGUACCAGCUGUCAGACAGCAACCCAGAGAUGCUUGUCACUUUUUAUGGAUGCACAGCUGCAUGAUGACACUGUGCUACACAACCAUACCAGGUUUUGCAGAUGAUCAUCUGGAUAUGGAAUCGCUUUAUGAAGGCACGAACCUGUACUAUGUGUAAAGCUGCAAGUUAUUUUGCUCUUUGGAUAGUAAUUUACUAGUACUGCUAUGUGGGAAAACAGGAAGAGGAUGACAAAGACAGGGCUUGCAAGGAGCUCAUCUUUGAUGCAUUACACUCAGUCUGCAAGUCAGAAACUUUCCAUUGGGAGCUACUGGAUAACCCUCAUGCUGUGCAGUGGUCAAGGUGAAACUUCAUGAAAGGUGCUGGUGCACACAGUGGGACUUCUGACCAACAAGAGUCAGCAGCUGCAAGCACAGGCAAAGGUCUCUAGCUGGCAGCCAUUACAUAAAUAAAUAUGGCACUGAAGUUUCUCCUCCA